rnacentral:lncRNA from 1 species
AUGCGGAGGGUUGGAGCUCGUGAGCGAAGGCGCUGAAUCCUGAGGGUCAGAUCUCCAAGAAGGAGGGAGGCUGGUCCUAGUUCCCGAGGUCCUAGACUAGGUCUAGAUCACUGGGUAAAAGAAGGGGAGCGGCAGCACGUAUGGGAUCUUUCAAGACUCUAGUCAAAAUGAGCAGAACAUUUUGCAGUUAAUCAUAGAGUUGAAGAUGAACGAGAAGAUGAACGAGAGCUACUUGAUUGUGAACUAGUAACGACCACUUGGAGUCGCAGUGUGUCUGUAAAAUGAUGAUGACAGUGACAUCAUAGAGGACAUAGUGCAAGUGAACAGUUUGAUACUGAGCUUGGAGCCUCAGUAGUUCUGGAUAAGUGAGAGCUGUACGGGAGGUUGUAACCAUGAGCUACCCUGGUUGGCAGUUGACAUCCGAGGACCAGCACUGGUCAUCGCACAGAAAGAAAACUUUACACCUUGAGAUCCCUCCAUUCUUCUUAAACUUCCAAGUGUAUGUUUGAUGGGAGAAGAGGGGAAGGGAUCAACAUUUAAAGGCUCUGGAAGGAGUCAGAUAACUGUUUUUGGCUUCAAAUGUAGAAUGAAUCCCUAGAUUUUCCUCUACUGAGAGAAUGAAAUCUUAACCCAUUCCGUUCCCUUGUUGGUACUCAGAAACGGAUACCCCAAAGAUGCAUUUUGACAUGCUGAAAGGCCUUAGAAGCUGCCUUAGAAGAUCUGUCUAACCUUGUCUUGUUGGUGUGUGGAAGUGGGAAUGCCCACAGGUGCACAGGGAGGGAGUUUCUGAAAUUAUCUGACCGAGAAAGCAAAAAAAAAAAAUCAAUUGUCUUAAACCCGGUUUCUAGGGAUCUCAUUAAAGAACUAGGAAAAAUUAACCACCUGUUAACAGAAAAACCAAACUGAAAUGUUUUAAAGAGAUUUAUUUUGAGCCAAUAUGAGUGACCAUGGCCUGGGGAACACAGGCUCAAGAGGUCCUGAGAAAGUGUGCCUGAGACAGUAGAAUUACAGUUUGGUUUUGUACAUUUUAGGUGGACAGGAGUUACAGACAAAGACAUAAAUCAGUACAUGGAAGGUACAGAUUGUGUUCAGCUGGGUGCAGUGGCUCACGCCUGUAAUCCCAGCACUUUGGGAGGUCGAGGUGGGCGAAUCGCUUGAGGUCAGGAGUUCGAGACCAGCCUGGCUAACAUGGUGAAACCGUGUCUCUACAAAAAAUACAAAAAAUUAGCCAGGGAUGGUGGCAGGCACCUGUAGUCCUGGAGCUACUCAGGAGGUUGAGGCACGAGAAUUGCUGCGGAGGUUGUAGUGAGCCGAGACCACACCACUGCACUCCAGCCUGGGUGACAGAGCAUGACUCUGUCUCAAAAAAAAAAAAAAAAUUCUACGGUAUUUUUAUAAUACAUUUUGUAGUACCACUUAUAACCACUUGGGUGCGUGGGUUGCCCAUUAAAUCAAACAGUUUACAGUUCACCCUUGAACAACAUGGAUUUAAACUGUACUGGUCCACUUAUACUCAGAUUUUCUUCUGCCGCUGUCACUCUGAGACAGCAAGACCAACCCCCCUUCCUCUCCUCAGCCUACUCAAUGUGAAAAGGACAAGGAUGAAGGCCUUUAUGAUGAUCCACUUCCACUUAAUGAAUAGUAUAUUUUAUCUUCCUUACGAUUUCCUUAAUAACAGUUUCUUCUCUCUACUUUACUAUUGCAAGAAUACAGUAUAUAAUGCAUAUAACAUACAAAAUAUGUGUUCAUCUAUGUCAUCAGUAAGACUUCAGAUCGACAGUAGGCUAUUAAUAGUUAAGUUUUGGGGGAGUCAAAAGUUAUAUGUGGAUUUUCUACUGCAUUGUUUAAGGGUCAACUGUAGAUUCAACGACUACCUAGGAUUGUAGAGUUGACUGAUAGCACUGGGACUGAUGAUAACAUCAUAACCUGUAAGAAGUGUCAACAAUGGUGAUGGACCCCCAGCAACCCUGGAGUGGGGAUGUCUAAAGAUAGAUGUCAUCCACCAGGCAGGAGUUGGUGCUGCCAGUGUGUCAUGUACUGCAGCCUCUUUUAUUUAUUUAUUUAUUUUUAUUUAUUUUUUGAGACAGCAUCUCGCUUUGUCACCCAGGCUGGAAUGCAGUGGCACAAUCUCGGCUUACUGCAACCUCCACCUCCCGGGUUCAAGCGAUUCUUCUGCCUCAGCCUCCCAAAUAGCUGGGACUACAGGUGCGCACCACCACGCCAGGCUAAUUUUUGUAUUUUUAGUAGAGACGGGGUUCCAUCAUAUUGGCCAGGCUGGUCUCAAAGUCCUGACCUCGUGAUCCGCCCAUGUCGGCCUCCCAAAGUGCUGAGAUUACAGGUAUGAGCCACAGCGCCUGGCCUGCAGUCCCUUUUACUACAACAAAUAUGGGAAAGAGUCACAGGUGUGGCAUACGGUGGUGGCUUCUGCGUUAGAAACAUAGGCCAAGUACAGUGGCUCAUGCCUAUAAAUCUCAGCACUUUGGGAAACUGAGGUGGCCAGACUGCUUGAGCCCAGGAGUUUGAGAUCAGCCUGGGCAACAUGGCGAAAUUCUGUCUCUACAAAAAGUACAAAAGUUACCCGGGUGUGGUGAUGUCAUAGGUAGUAGAUUUAUCCUUCAAACAUCAACAACUAAAAAAUCUGGACAAAAUAGGAGACAACAGAGUUCAGACAUUGGAAACAAGCAUUGUAGCACAGUGGUCCCCAAGAGAAAGGAGACAAAUGAAGUGACCUUAGUGGCCCGGCUUAUGUCUGGAGAGUUAGUUUCUAGGCUACAUAGCCCAGGGGUGUCCCUGAGUUGGGACAAAGUUGAGAAUUUGGAGAGGCCAAGGCAGCUAGUUUGUAAGGCAGGGUACCAGAGAGUAGCGCAGCACAGACCUGCAAAGGGUUUCCUGCACGUGUAGCGCACAGCAUGCCUGUGAACACACUCCUGGAAACCAAGGGAACUACCAGGAAGGUGCAGGCAGAGCAAUCCCCGGAGCCAUAGUGGAGACCAUCACUGUGCACUGGCUAAACUACUCAAAGAUACUGCCUGUCUAGUGAGGCAAAAUUAGCCCUAAUGGCCGCUCUGGUCUCACCUAAGUAAGCUCAGAAACACUGAAGCAAGCUCUCAGUUCGAAGGAAAAUGGAAAUCUGGCAUAUGAAAUCAAGAUCUCCAGAUACAGUAAAUAUAACUCUUAUGACAAAAUAGCACAAAGGCCAAGAGACAGGAAAGUGUGUGCUGUUGCUAAGUUGUUCUACUACCUGUGAAGUGGUAGAAUAUUACAUAAAAGUGUGACAAGUCUAAAGAUGUACACUAGAAAUUUUAAGAGAAACAACAAAAAAUGAAAAUGGAGGUAGGGUUAAUAAGCCAACAAAGGAGAUAAAAAUGAAAUAAUACAAAAUAAAUUAGCCCCGCACAAGUAUGGCCAUCUGAUUUAAACCCUGUCACUCCAGCUGGAGUGCAGUGGCGUGAUCACGGCUCACUGCAGCCUCGACUCCCAGGCUUAGACGAUACUCCCACCUCAGCCUCCUGGGGAGCUGGGACUACAGGUGCACACCACCAUGCCUGGCUAAUUUUUUUAGUAGAGAUGGGGUCUGGCUGUGUUGCCCAGGCUGGUCUCAAACUCCUGGGCUCAAGCAAUCAUCCCACUUCAGCUUCUCAAAGUGCAGGGAUUACAGGCGUGAGCCAGUGCACCCGGCCUAUGGCCAUCUGAUUUUUGACAGAAGUGCAGAAGUAAUUCAAUAGAGAAAGGAUCGUUUUCAAGUAACAGUCCUGGAGCAAUUGGAUAUCUAUUGGCAAAAAAAAAAAAAAAAAAAAAAAAAAAAAUCUUGAUCUAAACCUUACACUUUGUACAAAAAUGAACUCUUAAGUGGAAAAUGGAUCAUAGAUUUAAAUAUAAAGCAUAAAACUAUAAAACCUUUAGAAAAUAACAUAUGAGAAAAUCUUUGGGCUAGGUGAAGAGUUCUUAGACACAACACCAAAAACCUGUCAAUUGGGCUUCAUCAAAAUUUAAAUUUGUUUCUCUGCAAAAUACCUGUGAAGAGGAUGAAAAGACAAACUAUGAACUGGGAGAAAAUAUUUGCAAAGCACUUGUAUGACAAAGGCUUUAUAUCUGGAAUAUAUAAUGAAGUCUUGAAAUUCAACAGUAAGAAGACAAACAAUCCAAUUAAAAAAUGAACAGCAGACAUUUCACUGAAGAUACACAGAUGGCAAAUAAACACAUGAAGAGAUGUUCAACAUUUUCAGCCAUUAGAGAAAUGCAAAUUAAAGCCACAAUGAGAUAUCACUACACAUCUAUCAGAAUGGCUAAAAUAAGAAAUAGUGGGCUGGUCCAAGUGCAAUGGUGUUGCAACAAAUUGAUCACAACCACUUACAGAUUUAUUUGUUCUUUUUCCACUCCCACUGCUUCACUUGACUAGCCUUAAAAAAAAAGUGACAUCACCAAAUGCUGGUUGGUCAGAAUGCCAAGAAAUGAAUCACUUAUACAUUGCUGGUAGGAAUGUAAAAUGGCACAGCCACUCUGAAAAGUUUGGCAGUUUAUUAAAUGAAAUAUGCAACUACCAUAUGACCCAGCAAUCCCAGUCUUGAACACUUGUCCCAGGGAAAUGAAACUUAUGUUUACACAAUAACCUGUAUAGUAGUCCUCCUUAUCUACAAUUUUGCUUUCCUUUUUUUUUUUUUUUUUUUUUUUUUUUUUUUUGAGACUCUAGUCUUGCUCUGUUGCCCAGGUUGCUGUGCAGUGGCGUGAUCUUGGCUCACUGCAACCUCUGCCUCCUGGGUUCAAGUGAUUCUCCUGUCUCAGCCUCCUGAGUAGCUGGGAUUACAGGCGUGUGCCAUCACACCCAGCUAAUUUUUGUAUUUUUAAUAGAGACGGGGUUUCCCCAUGAUGGCCAGGCUGGUCUCAAACUCCUGACCUCAAGUGAUCUGCACACCUCAGCCUGCCAAAGUCCUGGGAUUACAGGUGUGCACCACCGCACCCAGCCAGUUUUGCUUUAUGCAGUUUCAGUUACCCACAGUCUGAAAAUAUGUGAGAACAGUACAUUUUGAGGCCACAUUCAUUUAAUUACAGUAUAAUUGUUCUAUUUAUUGCUGUCAGUUUCUUGCAGUGCUUAAUUAAACAUCAAAGGUAUGUAUGUAUAGAAAAAAUAUAUAGAGGACAUAUAGUACAUAUAGCACAUAUGGAUAGUGUAUAUACUAUCCAUGGUUUCAGACACUCACUGGGAGUCUUGGGAUAUAAUCUUCAAAGAUAAAGGGGGACUAUUAUACCUGAUUGUUCAGAUCAGCUUUAUUGUUAAUGCCCCCAAACUGGAAACAACCAAAAUGUUCAAGGUGAAUGGUUAAACUAUAAAUAUAUAUGCUAUGUACAUAGUAUAUUCAUACUAUGGAGUACUGUGUAGCAAUAAAAAGGAAUUAACUAUUGAUACAUGCAACUACCUGGAUGUAUCUCAAGGGAAUGGAGUGAAAAGGCCAUUCUCAAAGGUUAUACUUCGUGAUCCUAUUUACGUAAGAUUCUUGAAAUAAGAAAAUUAUGAAGAACAGAUUAGUGGUUUCCAGGGGUUAGAAAUGGGGGACAGAGGUAGAGAUGGCUAUAAAAGGAUAGUAUGGCAGAGCUCUGUGAUGACGGAACAGCUCUGUAUCUUGCUUAUGUUGCUGUUUUCAUCCAUCUACACAGGUGAUAAAAUGAAAUAGAACUAUAUAUCACAUGCAACACAAAUGAGUGCAUGUAAAAUGGGUGAAAUUUGAAUAAGCUCUGUGGACUGUUCCAAUGCCAAUUUCUUAGUGGUGAAUCUACAGUUAAAAAGCUAAAAAACAUUUUUUUUGGGAAUGUUUUUAGUGCUGCUAAAAAUAGAAGUGGAGCGAUGACAAUAGACCUCAGCUGUGGGAUCAUUCAGUAGCCAGAACCUGGAAUAGUGUGUGAAAGUGUGUGGUUGGGAUUCUUAACAGCAGGGGGAAACGUCAGUCAGUAGAAUCGACUUUUUCCUUCUUCUUCUCAACCAGCUUCCUGAAGCAAAGCCUAUCUUUUCUAUUAAAUUGGUUUUUUCUUAUGCCUCCCCGCUUUUUUUUUUUUUUUUUUUUUGAGACAGGGUCUCAUUCUGUCGCCCAGGCUGGAGUGUGGUGGCACAAUCUUGGCUCACUGCCUGGACCUUCCAGGCUCAGGAGAUUCUCCCACCUCAGCCUCCUGAGUAGCUGGAACUACAGGCAUGUGCCACCACACCAGGCUAAUUUUUUUUGUAGAGCUGGGGUUUCCCCAUGUUGCCCAGAUUGGACUUGAAUUCCUGGGUUCAAGCAAUCUGCUGAGCCAAAGUGUUGGGAUUAUGGGUGUGAGCCACCACACCCAGCCUUUUUUAAUUUAUAAAAUAGAGACAGGGUCCUGCUCUGUCACCCAGGCUGGAGUGCAGUGGCACAAUCUUGGCUCACUGCAGCCUCGACCUCUUGGGUUCAAGCAAUCCUCCCACCUCAGCCUCCCAAGUAGCUGGGACUACAGGGGUGUGCCACUAUGCUUGGCUAAUUUUUUUUGUCGUUGUUGCUUUUUUUGUAGAGAUGAAGUCUCGCCCAGGCUAGUCUAGAACUCCCAGGCACAAGUGAUUGCUCCUGCCUAGGCCUCCUAAAAUGUUGGGAUUAGUGGCGUGAGCCACUGCGCCCAUCCUGCUAAGCCUAUCUUGAAAUGAUAGAUUUUUCUGUCUGUUCCUAUCUGCCUUAUAAUUAGUGACAGACCAUCUGAACCAAACUCAGGAAAGAAUUACCUUAGGAAAGCUUUCAUCAUCAAAAAACAUCUUAUAAUUGCAGAAGUAUAUACAAGAUGAUCUAUUAUCAACAGUUUAUAAUGGCCAAAGAUAAGUCACCAGAAUAUUUGCAGAAAAAAGUUAUAAUGGCCAAAGAAUGGAACAACUUAAAUACACAGGGGAUGGUAAAUCCAUACAAUAAAAUACUGUACACAAGAAAGAAA